CUGUAUUUAUUUUGGGAUCGUACAUGAAAUGCAUCUAUUAGGUCAAAGCAAAAUCAGACCAACAGCACUUACUUCCUCAAUAGAAAACAUCAUGAUUAACUGCAUUUAGGGAGAGAAAAUCAGUAUGGUUUACAUUUUUAUGCUUGGACAAAGACUGAAUUAAAAACAACAGUGUUCCAAUUUUUACAGGAAAUGAUUUCAUAAAAGAAAGAGACAUCAAAAAGCUUCAGAAGACCGUGGCAGAAACAGGCAAGAAAGAAAGAGGUUUCAGAAGACCUCGUGAAGAUGUAAAGGGGUUGGCCAGUUCCAGCUAGCAUUGGAAGGUGAGGAGAAAAAGUCAGCAGUGCAGGCUGUGGUUGUCUAAAUGUCAGAACUGAUAGCUGUGGGCAAUAAC